UGACAGUACCUCGCUAGAAAGCACCAGCUAACUACGUGCCAGAAGCUUCGGUAAUACGUAGGGUGCAAGCGUUAUCCGGAUUUACUGGGCGUAAAGGGUCCGUAGGCGGCCUAUUAAGUCUCUUGUCCAAGCCCGAGGCUCAACUUCGGAGAAGCAAGAGAUACUACUAGGAUUGAGUUAGUUCGAGGAAGCUGGAAUUCUCGGUGGAGGGGUGAAAUCCGUAGAUCUCGAGAGGAACGCCAAGUGCGAAGGCAAGCUUCUAGGACUCAACUGACGCUAAGGGACGAAAGCUUGGGUAGCAAAAGGGAUUAGAGACCCCUGUAGUCCAAGCCGUAAGCACUCCUUGCUAGUUGUUCCUGGUUUCGACCGGGAGUGACGUAGUUAACGCGAUAAGCAAGGCGCCUGGGGAGUACAACCGCAGGGUUUAAACUCAAAGGAAUUGGCGGGGGAGCGAACAACCGGUGGAGCAUGUGGUUUAAUUCGAUACAAAGCGAACAACGUUACCUGGGCUUGACAUCUAGCUGCAACGCCUGAGAAAUCAGGAAGCCUUCGAGGGUGCUAGACAGGUGAUGCAUGGCUGUCGUCAGCUCGUGUUGUGAAACGUCCGCUUAAGUGCGGUAACGAGCGAAACCCUUAUUGUAUGUUAUACGUAUCAUACAAAACCGCCCCGCCUCAGCGGGGAGGAAGGAGAGGACGACGUCAAGUCAGCAUGUCCCUUACGUCCAGGGCUACACACAUCCUACAAUGGGAAAGACAACGAGUCGCGACGGAGCGAUCCUGAGCCAAUCUUAAUAAACUUUCCCUCAGUUCAGAUUGAAGGCUGCAACUCGCCUUCAUGAAGCUGGAAUCGGUAGUAAUCGCAAAUCAUUAGGUUGCGGUGAAUACGUUCUCGCUCCUUGCACACACUGCCCGUCAAGCCAGCAAAGUCAGCAGCGCCCGAAGCGGUUGACCAUAACUUCGCUUGUCGAAGAGUGGCACUGCUACGGCGAAGUUGGCAAUGAGGACUAAG
rnacentral:rRNA from 1 species